GAGGCAGGGAAUGGGGACGGAGGAAGGAGGGAGGGACAGAGUGGAGGGAAGGCAGGAGUACCAGCCCUUCCUCCAAUUCCUCUUCCUUCUAUCCUUAAAAUCAGUAUGUCGUGGUGGAAGAGUUGGUAGCCCUGCACAUGUCCAUCCGAGAAUUACGUCACAGGUGGGCACAAGCCGCAGUCAUUCGCCGGCGCCUCCCUGCAGUCUCAGGUAGCAGCGGCGAUGCGUAGUGCUGUUGCUUUGUACUGAGUGAGCGUGAAAGAACCCUCGUGACGAUAUAUGGUGAUGGACGUGUGGGCCUUUACGUUGUGGAAAUAGAAGCCUUCUGCCUCCCUCUCACAGUACGGUGGCUAUGCAUGGAACCAUCAGCUACACAACGUGGUACUGACUUGCGACUCGUGUGUGGCGUAUCAGCGUCUUCUGUGGCGAGGCACUCCAGGUCUGGCCUUGUUUUGAUUGGGCAGACACGCAGGCAUAACUUGGUGCUGAUUGGACGAUAACGAUAACGGCAUUACUAACGGAAGAAUAUAGAGAGGAAAAAUUUGAAGAGAAGAUUAAACGGAAGGACGGGAAAAGCAGGAAGGUCCGAAAAACAAGUAUAAAGUGCAGAGAGCAGAGAAGAGAACAGCAACAAAGAGGCCCUCGUCAUCUCUCACAGCCGUUCCCUGCUGGAAAAAACAAUGAAUGGGAGAAAAAAAAAAAAAAAUAGAUCGUUUUUGAAAUAAGUGGAGAUGGGUAAGGUACACGAGGUUGCUUUCGUCUUCCCCACUCUGUUUCGUCUCAUCAGUGGCGCAGAUUCAUCAACGCCAAGCCAGAUAAACACCACACCAGCUUUGCAAACCCAUCUGUUUUACAUCCUGCCGCCAGCUCCCCUCCGUGUUGAAACAUUGGAUUCGAGUCGAGGGCCCCAUUUCUGUAAAUUUCUGGCAACAGGAGGGACACUGACCAAGGGCAACAAAAAUUCAAUAAAUAAAAAAAGCCCACUGAGAUAUAUAUACCAGUGCAGCGUCCGUCAAGGGUUUCAUACUGGCGAUCAGAAAGACAAAAAGCAUUCUGAGUGACUGAUUGAUUAAGAAGCUUGUUAACGAAGAUGGAUGCAGAAUAUAAGACAUCAUAGCUGCAGCUCGAUGGUCUGAGGGACUGGAUCGGCCAUCCUCUUGGGGAACGCAGGCAAAUUUCCAGCAGCAAGGAAAGGUGAACGUUGAUGGAAGAGUUGGAGAAGUUCAGUGAAGCGGAGUGAAAGCAUAGAAGAGGCAUGUAAUGGAAACGGUAGAAGGAAAUCAUCAGGACCAUAAGCCUUCCGGUGGGCAAGAUGUGAGACAGCACAGAAAACAUCAUUAUAAAGAAUUUCAGUAGCGGACAACAACAGCCAGAUAUUUGAGAUGAAGAAAGAACAAAGAACUAUCCAGUGUUGAGUUCACACCAGUGAUCUGAGGGAAGAGUUCGCACACACACACACACACACACACACACACACACACACACACACACACACACACACACACACACACACACACACACACACACACACACACACACACAUGGAGGGGUACAUGACGUGUCCAGAGUGUAUAUGUAAGGAUGCACAGUUGGAAAAGAUGUUUUAGGGAGGAAAUUGUGUGUUAGAUAAGAAAUAUUUUUAGACAGAGAUUAAAAUAUUAGAAAAUGGUGUAUUUUUUUAAUAGAUUACACCCAGACGCAACCCGCGCCUCACAAAUUUAUACAUGGCAUUUUGUUUUAUUAUUCAUUUAGCACUUGUAGAUGCUAUAGAUGAAUUAUCGAGAGAGAGAGAGAGAGAGAGAGAGAGAGAGAGAGAGAGAGAGAGAGAGAGAGAGAGAGAGAGAGAGAGAGAGAGAGAGAGAGAGAGAGAGAGAGAGAGAGAGAGGCAGAAGGGAGAAAGUGGUAGGCGGGUGGCGUAAAAUAGGGUUUAGAUCUGCAGUUGACGUCAAGGGGGAUGGAGGGAGGGGGCGUGAAGAGAAAAGGGAAAAGAGGAGUGGAGAGUGAUGAGAGUGAGGGGAUAUAAAUGUAAAUAUGUAUUCUUUUCAUCACCUUUCCUUUUUCUUCAAUUCUUUAUAGAUUAAUUAAUUUCACCCCAUGCGUACUGACACAUUCCAUGCAGGAGGUUUGUGGGAUUAGUUUACAUAAUUACUAAUAACAAAACACACACUGACUCCCACGUUGAUCACAUGAAAUUAAUCAAAGUGUGUGUGUGUGUGUGUGUGUGUGUGUGUGUGUGUGUUUGAGACGCCGUGCUUGACGUCAACCGUAAUAGGGAAAUGAAAACUGUAUGAGAAUUUAAAAAAAAAUAUCAUAACACGACAAUAAUAAUAAUAAUAAUAAUGAUAAUGAUAAUGAUAAUGAUAAUAAUAAUAACAAUAAUAAUAAUCAUAAUAAUAAUAGUCACCUCAUCAGCUGGUAGUUUACUUGGUGCCAAAACUUUUGACACAAAGUUACUGAACCAGGUAAAAGUUAGUUCAUACUCUGUGUGUGUGUGUGUGUGUGUGCUAAAAGUUUCGCAGCUCAAACUUAUCCCGUGGCCAGUCUCGCUCAGACUUACUGUACAACGCAUUACCCAUAAUCAAGGCUGUACUUUCACCGGCAGGGAAAAAUGCCGUUUAUAAGACCACGACGUGACAAUCAAGGCAAUACGUAGGUGAAUCACACACGCACGCAGUAGUAGUAGUAGCAGUAGUAGUAGUAGUCGUAGUAGUAGUAGUAGUAGUAGUAGUAGUAGUAGUAGUAGUAGUAGUAGUAGUACUUAGUAAAAGAUGUACUAGCAAAGGUUGUUGUCAUAAAUGAUAAUAGUGUUGUUGUUGCUACUUUUUUUGCCACUAAUUGUGUUUUUUGCCUUUUCAUUCAGGGUAUUUUCAUCAUUCUGCCUUUGCAUUGCCAUUAUCGCGUGCCCGAGCAAAUCUGGCUGGAGGAGAGGCAGCGGAAGGCGUAAUGAGAGUGUGCUGGAACCUGCUAGGGGAGCCUGACGGUAUUUUGUCGAUGUGAAGGCAUCUGUAUUUUUUCAUUGCGUUUUUUUCAUUAAGAGUCUAUUUCAGUUGGCUGCCGUCACGUUACCUCUUUGUGAGAAGGCUUACCUGUUGCAUGCGGCAGGAGAGUGUGCACACCUGGACUUAAUUAAUUUCCAUACUUUGACUUGGUGUCCGCUUGUGUGUGUGUGUGUGUGUGUGUGUGUGUACAUGUGUUUUGAUGGACCCGUGAAUGCUAUCCAUAUCAGUAUUUACAUUAAUUUCAGUAUAGUAAUGUAUUUCCUGUAUUUUUUGUUUGUAUUGUUGUUUGUUGUCAAUAAAUAUUUAUCAAACUUUCUAACCGCAAGCGCAUAUGUGUGUGUGUGUGUGUGUGUGUGUGUGUGUGUGUGUGUGUGUGUGUGUGUGUGUGU